rnacentral:rRNA from 1 species
UACAGAGGGUGCAAGCGUUGUUCGGAAUUAUUGGGCGUAAAGGGCGCGUAGGCGGUGCGGUAAGUCUGUAGUGAAAUCUCUGGGCUCAACUCAGAGUCUGCUGCAGAAACUGCCGGGCUUGAGUAUGGGAGAGGUGAGUGGAAUUUCCGGUGUAGCGGUGAAAUGCGUAGAUAUCGGAAGGAACACCUGUGGCGAAAGCGGCUCACUGGACCAUAACUGACGCUGAUGCACGAAAGCUAGGGGAGCAAACAGG